UCGGAGAGUUUGAUCCUGGCUCAGGAUGAACGCUGGCGGCGUGCCUAAUACAUGCAAGUCGAGCGAACUGAUUAGAAGCUUGCUUCUAUGACGUUAGCGGCGGACGGGUGAGUAACACGUGGGUAACCUGCCUGUAAGACUGGGAUAACUUCGGGAAACCGAAGCUAAUACCGGAUAGGAUCUUCUCCUUCAUGGGAGAUGAUUGAAAGAUGGUUUCGGCUAUCACUUACAGAUGGGCCCGCGGUGCAUUAGCUAGUUGGUGAGGUAACGGCUCACCAAGGCAACGAUGCAUAGCCGACCUGAGAGGGUGAUCGGCCACACUGGGACUGAGACACGGCCCAGACUCCUACGGGAGGCAGCAGUAGGGAAUCUUCCGCAAUGGACGAAAGUCUGACGGAGCAACGCCGCGUGAGUGAUGAAGGCUUUCGGGUCGUAAAACUCUGUUGUUAGGGAAGAACAAGUACAAGAGUAACUGCUUGUACCUUGACGGUACCUAACCAGAAAGCCACGGCUAACUACGUGCCAGCAGCCGCGGUAAUACGUAGGUGGCAAGCGUUAUCCGGAAUUAUUGGGCGUAAAGCGCGCGCAGGCGGUUUCUUAAGUCUGAUG
rnacentral:rRNA from 2 species